rnacentral:misc_RNA from 1 species
CGAGGGCAGGAGAUACGGGCAUGCCUACUCACACACCCACGUAUCCAGCGGUAAGCCAAGCAGGCAAGACACGACUCGGCGGUAGUAUACAUCUUGUUUUUCCUCUUUCUGGGCAUCUGUGCCUGACAACUUGCCAAUGGCACUUGCACACAUUCUUCGCUGCCAGCGCUUUUUUUGGCUCGGCCUUCGCGACCGUAUGCGGGUGAGCAAGAUGAUAAGCGGCACCUUGCCCAUCCCCGCCAGCGAUGCGAUGAUGUCGGUGGUGCCGGUCAAGGCUAUUCGGGCGGUCGCGGCGGCACCUCCGCAGACGCCGCGGCCGCCACUGCCAUGGCUUGUGUUGCCGUGGCGUCGCCAGCUGCCACCCGACCCUGCGUUCAGUCAGUUUGUCGCCCAGCCCAUGGUCGUUCCUAUGUACUGCGGCCUGCGCUUGAUUGACGAGUUCGGCCACGUCAACAACGCCAAGUACCUUGAACUGUGCGAGUUGGCUCGGUGGCGUCAGCUGUCUUUCCUCGGCAUCGGCACCAUGAUGGCCCGGCUUCGCGUGGCGUUCGUGGUCUCCGACCUCUCCGUAACUUAUCAGCGGGAAAUCCGACCGUGGAGCAGGGUGUGGUUGUCGACGCGAAUUCUUCUCCCGCCGUCCAGCACCGCCUUUGCUGGCCCGCUGUCUUCGCCAUUGCCAGGGGCAGCGCCAUCAUCAGACAAGAGGCGCUUGUACAUUGAGCAUGAGAUCUGGAGCAAGGAUGGGCGUAAGCUGCACGCUGCAAUAACUCUCGCGGCGGCCCUCAUCGGCCCUGUGAAGUACGAGCAGGAGCUGGCUCGGCGCUACGACCCGACUGCUGCUGCCGCCGCAGCGGCGCCGCCUCACGCGCCUGCAGGCACCCGUGCCCGUCAGCGUACGACGUUGAACUGCGAGCACGUCCUGGCUGACGCCUUGGAUCUUUCUUCCGUGGCGGAGCUGCGCAAGCUGUUCGAAUCCGCUGAGCAUAUCUGCACCCCCGCUGUGGGCGACGGCGACGCCGCGGCCGCGGCGAAAUCGGAUGAGAUGCCUGACCAGGAAAGCGCAGCGCGGCAGGAGCGCAUCACGGGUCUCGCCCGCAUCUGGCGCACAACACGCAAUCAACUGCGUCAUACGUCGUUCAUCUCGUCUCCGCCACCGCCGUAGUCUUCUAACACACUCAACUCCAAGACGGGCCCCAAACUGUGAUGAGUGUGCCUUUGAAUGGGGUACAGGCGAAGGCGUCACGCGAGGGAGGGGCCCCAUGUGUGUGUGUGUGUGUACGCUCGGUCAUCUGCCGUCUCUUUGCCCUUCCACCCUGCGUCGCCUCGAGCUCACAGACGAACACGGCCGCUGCGUUUGCUGUUUCUUUUCGCUUCCACACGCAAUUGCUUGACAGAGCUGCAGACAAGAACAGAAACGAUGCUGAGGGCGAAGUGCCCCCCCUCCCCUUCCCUUCCUUUCCUCUCCCCCGUAAGAAAAGGAAGAGAGCGGCAGAAGCGUCAGUCGCAUCACAAGCGGGCCGCGAGGAUGGGGUGACCGAUGGCGGUGGAUGCGAGGUCGACGACGGAUGUGUCUGUGAUGUGUGGUGACUGCCCUACCUCCCACCCAUUACGGUUUUUUUUUUCCUUAUUGGUGGGGUGGGGGCCUG